rnacentral:lncRNA from 1 species
GGCGUCUACAAGAGACCUUCCUUCUCAGCUCAACUGUGCCCUGCAGUAAGUAAUGAUGGAGAGAAUGUGACUUUGCUCUGCAGCUCUGGAAGCUCAUUUGACCUGUGCCUUCUAACGAGGAAGGUAAGGCCCCUGGACACUGGCUCACUGGGGUGCAGAGACAGAGUGGGGCAUUCAGGCCAACUUCUCUCUGGGUCUUGGGGCUGGUGAUGGGACCUCUAGAUGCUGCAGCUCUCUGUCGAUGGCUCUGCCUGUGAGUGAUCAGCCCUAGAUGACCACUGUUA